rnacentral:tRNA from 1 species
GAAAUAUAAUAAUUCAAGAUGAAGCUUCUAACUUUUAUCUUUAGCGGUGUAAAUCCGUUAAUAUUUCU